UCCAGGAUGCUGACCAUUUCAAAGACAUUGCUGGCUAUUUUUCCAAGGAAGAGUUUGAAGAAAUAAGUGACUGGAAGAUGCUCCGUUAUAAAAACGUGAAGCGGAAUUAUGAAGCCGUGCUUGCCAUAGUGACGGCCACUGAGAACAAGAGUUUGACAGUCGAUAUUCCAGACACAAGCAGUGGACACAACCCAGAUCGGGGACUGAUGGGAUAUCUGGGAUCAGACAAUGAUCGGGCGAUCGUUCUUCCUCCUCUCCCUUCUCCAAGGUACCAUCAGCAGCAACUCAGAAGUGUUUAGGGGCGAGGAGGCUUUAACUGGUUGGCUGCCAG